rnacentral:lncRNA from 1 species
AACUCUAUCCUGGUCAUCUCAUAUUCCUCUCACCAAAACAAUAAACAAUAAAGUAAAAGGUAAAAAGAGGAGUGACAGUUGUUAGGACAAAGGUGUGCCGAAUCACAUUUUCUGGAGCAGCUAAUUUCACAGCAAAAGUACCUAACAUUAAUGGUGUCAAAUCAACUUCCUGGCAGCAUCUUAGCAUGAAAAUUGUUGAUAACCUUUUAAGGCACCUAAUACCAGUGAAACUAGUACUGGAACACAAACAUCUCUGUUCUCUUCUCACGAGGAAACAACACAGAGUUGUGCGAGAAGAAAAUGGACAACCCCAAGAAAAAGAUAAUUCACAUAUAGGAUAAAAUCCACAAGUCGAAAAACCUAGGGAUGUAAUUUCAAUCUUAUCUAAAAUCCACAAAUAAUAAAGGAUUUAAGUAGAAAUGAAAAAAAAAUAUCAAGUACAGAACCAUGUUUUUACACCUAAAAUAAUUAUGUUUAAGGAGAUUUGGUUAUUAUAAAUGCAGCUAGAAGACAUCCACCCAAAAAAACACACCACUAUGAUAUCCUAGGUUCCGAUAAAGGCAUGAGAAGAAUAGAGGAUGAGCUGGCAACAUCCAAUAGAAGCUAAAUAGUCUAAGGUACACAAACUACGAUAUGAACUGACGGAUAGAAGGAUAUAUCCUACGGAAAAAAGCAAACAGAAACCAUGAUGCCAGCCACUUUAACCAAUUU